CUAUCCUCUGGAUCGGGAUCGACUCUCCAGACCGAGACUCGCACCGACUGCCACCCCAGCAGACUCCCGCCGCCGCCACCCCUCCCGGCGGCUCCCGCCGCAGCCGCCCUCCAGCGCCUCCCGCGCGGCUCCGGCACCGGGCGCGGGCGGCCUCGGUUCCCGCCGCCGCGGGCAGGUCGGCCCCGGACGCCGCAGGCGUGGGGGGGCACGGCCGCGAAGCACCGCCACCCUGCAUCCACCGCCACGGCCACGAAGCGCCAAUCAUGGUAGACUGUCAUCGUUGGUGAGGCUCCCUGAUGUCUGAUGUGCUGCUCUAUGAGGAAGACUGAGCGAAAUGGAUGAACCUGUCAUCUUAGGCCUGCUUCUGGUGCCUCCUGGAAGAGCUACUACUAUGAAAUUCCUUGUUUUCUAUUGAGUUGAAGCUCGACUGGUGCAUGCCAUUGUGAUCAAGUUAGCUGUGGAUGUUCUUGUUAAAUUCAUCCUGAAUGCCAGGCACAUUUUUCAGUUACUGUUUGGUUAAUGCAUCAUUCGGCUACAUGGAACAAGAUUGCGUGCUGUUGUUGUCAUGUUAUAAAAAUAGCAUUGGCAUUCACUGUUA